GGGAAACGAUUCUUUUGCAGCGCUUAAUUGCGCGGCGAAAACCUUACACACUAUGUUUUUUUAAUUUGAAACUAUUGCUUUGGUCUGGCUUAGAAAUAGGUUGGGCCAAAGGUUUUAUCAAAACUUCAAUAUUUAUUAUUGAAUUGUUAUUUUUAAUUUUAUGUCAAUUUGUUGAUUAAUAUCAAAAAUCUUCAAAACUUUCAACAACGGAUCUCUUGGUUCUCGCAUCGAUGAAGAACGCAGCGAAAUGCGAUAAGUAAUAUGAAUUGCAGAUUUUCGUGAAUCAUCGAAUCUUUGAACGCACAUUGCGCCCUUUGGUAUUCCAAAGGGCAUGCCUGUUUGAGCGUCAUUUCUCUCUCAAAUCUUCGGAUUUGGUUUUGAGUGAUACUCUUAGUCAGACUAAGCGUUUGCUUGAAAUGUAUUGGCAUGAGUGGUACUAGAUAGUGCUGAACUGUUUUCAAUGUAUUAGGUUUAUCCAACUCAUUGACCAGUAAAGUAUUUGUUUAUUACACAGGCUCGGCCUUACAACAACAAACAAAGUUUGACCUCAAAUCAGGUAGGACUACCCGCUGAACUUAAGCAUAUCUAAACCGAAAAAGAGGAAGGAACU
rnacentral:rRNA from 1 species